AGCAGCCGCGGUAAUUCCAGCUCCAAUAGCGUAUAUUAAAGUUGUUGCAGUUAAAAAGCUCGUAGUUGAAUUUCGGGAUCAAGUCGUCGGUCGUGCUCAGGUACGUACUGGCGUCAUUGAUUUCUCCCUUCUGACGAACCAUGAUGUCAUUAAUUUGGUGUCAUGGGAAAUCAGGACUGUUACUUUGAAAAAAUUAGAGUGUUUAAAGCAGGCUCACGCUUGAAUACAUUAGCAUGGAAUAAUGAAAUAGGACGUUCGAUCCUAUUUUGUUGGUUUUUAGGAUCAACGUAAUGAUUAAUAGGGAUAGUUGGGGGCAUUAGUAUUCAAUUGUCAGAGGUGAAAUUCUUGGAUUUAUUGAAGACUAACUACUGCGAAAGCAUUUGCCAAGGAUGUUUUCAUUAAUCAAGAACGAAAGUUAGGGGAUCGAAGACGAUCAGAUACCGUCGUAGUCUUAACCAUAAACUAUGCCGACUAGGGAUCGGAUGAUGUUAAUUUUUAAUGACUCAUUC
rnacentral:misc_RNA from 1 species